GCACCCGUAGCUUAAUGGAUAGAGUAGAGGCUUGCGGAGUCUUUGAUCCCAGUCCGACUCUGGGCGGGUGCA
rnacentral:tRNA from 1 species